UGGGGAAUAUUGCACAAUGGGCGCAAGCCUGAUGCAGCCAUGCCGCGUGUGUGAAGAAGGCCUUCGGGUUGUAAAGCACUUUCAGCGGGGAGGAAGGCGAUAAGGUUAAUAACCUUGUCGAUUGACGUUACCCGCAGAAGAAGCACCGGCUAACUCCGUGCCAGCAGCCGCGGUAAUACGGAGGGUGCAAGCGUUAAUCGGAAUUACUGGGCGUAAAGCGCACGCAGGCGGUUGAUUGAGUCAGAUGUGAAAUCCCCGGGCUUAACCCGGGAAUUGCAUCUGAUACUGGUCAGCUAGAGUCUUGUAGAGGGGGGUAGAAUUCCAUGUGUAGCGGUGAAAUGCGUAGAGAUGUGGAGGAAUACCGGUGGCGAAGGCGGCCCGCUGGACAAGGACUGACGCUCAGGUGCGAAAGCGUGGGGAGCAAACAGG
rnacentral:rRNA from 1 species